GUGUGGAGUACGGCCACCANGCGACGACGGGUAGCUGGUCUGAGAGGACUACCAGCCACACUGGAACUGAGAUACGGUCCAGACUCCUACGGGAGGCAGCAGUGGGGAAUAUUGCACAAUGGGCGAAAGCCUGAUGCAGCGACGCCGCGUGAGGGAUGAAGGCCUUCGGGUCGUAAACCUCUUUCGGCAGGGACGAAGCGAUCAGUGACGGUACCUGCAGAAGAAGCCCCGGCUAACUACGUGCCAGCAGCCGCGGUAAGACGUAGGGGGCGAGCGUUGUCCGGAUUCAUUGGGCGUAAAGCGCGCGUAGGCGGCUGCGCAAGUCGGUUGUGAAAUUCCGGGGCUCAACCCCGGAACUGCGUCCGAUACUGCGUGGCUAGAGGUAGGUAGGGGAGAUCGGAAUUCCUGGUGUANCGGUGAAAUGCGCANAUAUCANGAGGAACACCGGUGGCGAANGCGGAUCUCUGG
rnacentral:rRNA from 1 species